rnacentral:rRNA from 1 species
AGCGGCGGACGGGUGAGUAACACGUAGGUAACCUACCUAUAAGACUGGGAUAACUUCGGGAAACCGGAGCUAAUACCGGAUAAUAUUUCGAACCGCAUGGUUCGAUAGUGAAAGAUGGCUUUGCUAUCACUUAUAGAUGGACCUGCGCCGUAUUAGCUAGUUGGUAAGGUAACGGCUUACCAAGGCAACGAUACGUAGCCGACCUGAGAGGGUGAUCGGCCACACUGGAACUGAGACACGGUCCAGACUCCUACGGGAGGCAGCAGUAGGGAAUCUUCCGCAAUGGGCGAAAGCCUGACGGAGCAACGCCGCGUGAGUGAUGAAGGUCUUCGGAUCGUAAAACUCUGGUUAUUAGGGAAGAACAAACGUGUAAGUAACUGUGCACGUCUUGACGGUACCUAAUCAGAAAGCCACGGCUAACUACGUGCCAGCAGCCGCGGUAAUACGUAGGUGGCAAGCGUUAUCCGGAAUUAUUGGGCGUAAAGCGCGCGUAGGCGGUUUUUUAAGUCUGAUGUGAAAGCCCACGGCUCAACCGUGGAGGGUCAUUGGAAACUGGAAAACUUGAGUGCAGAAGAGGAAAGUGGAAUUCCAUGUGUAGCGGUGAAAUGCGCAGAGAUAUGGAGGAACACCAGUGGCGAAGGCGACUUUCUGGUCUGUAACUGACGCUGAUGUGCGAAAGCGUGGGGAUCAAACAGGAUUAGAUACCCUGGUAGUCCACGCCGUAAACGAUGAGUGCUAAGUGUUAGGGGGUUUCCGCCCCUUAGUGCUGCAGCUAACGCAUUAAGCACUCCGCCUGGGGAGUACGACCGCAAGGUUGAAACUCAAAGGAAUUGACGGGGACCCGCGCAAGCGGUGGAGCAUGUGGUUUAAUUCGAAGCAACGCGAAGAACCUUACCAAAUCUUGACAUCCUUUGACCCUUCUAGAGAUAGAAGUUUCCCCUUCGGGGGACAAAGUGACAGGUGGUGCAUGGUUGUCGUCAGCUCGUGUCGUGAGAUGUUGGGUUAAGUCCCGCAACGAGCGCAACCCUUAAGCUUAGUUGCCAUCAUUAAGUUGGGCACUCUAAGUUGACUGCCGGUGACAAACCGGAGGAAGGUGGGGAUGACGUCAAAUCACCAUGCCCCUUAUGAUUUGGGCUACACACGUGCUACAAUGGACAAUACAAAGGGCAGCGAAACCGCGAGGUCAAGCAAAUCCCAUAAAGUUGUUCUCAGUUCGGAUUGUAGUCUGCAACUCGACUACAUGAAGCUGGAAUCGCUAGUAAUCGUAGAUCAGCAUGCUACGGUGAAUACGUUCCCGGGUCU